GGGUUGUGAGGUUAAGCGACUAAGCGUACACGGUGGAUGCCCUGGCAGUCAGAGGCGAUGAAGGACGUGCUAAUCUGCGAUAAGCGUCGGUAAGGUGAUAUGAACCGUUAUAACCGGCGAUUUCCGAAUGGGGAAACCCAGUGUGUUUCGACACACUAUCAUUAACUGAAUCCAUAGGUUAAUGAGGCGAACCGGGGGAACUGAAACAUCUAAGUACCCCGAGGAAAAGAAAUCAACCGAGAUUCCCCCAGUAGCGGCGAGCGAACGGGGAGGAGCCCAGAGCCUGAAUCAGUGUGUGUGUUAGUGGAAGCGUCUGGAAAGGCGCGCGAUACAGGGUGACAGCCCCGUACACAAAAAUGCACAUACUGUGAGCUCGAUGAGUAGGGCGGGACACGUGGUAUCCUGUCUGAAUAUGGGGGGACCAUCCUCCAAGGCUAAAUACUCCUGACUGACCGAUAGUGAACCAGUACCGUGAGGGAAAGGCGAAAAGAACCCCGGCGAGGGGAGUGAAAAAGAACCUGAAACCGUGUACGUACAAGCAGUGGGAGCACGCUUAGGCGUGUGACUGCGUACCUUUUGUAUAAUGGGUCAGCGACUUAUAUUCUGUAGCAAGGUUAACCGAAUAGGGGAGCCGAAGGGAAACCGAGUCUUAACUGGGCGUUAAGUUGCAGGGUAUAGACCCGAAACCCGGUGAUCUAGCCAUGGGCAGGUUGAAGGUUGGGUAACACUAACUGGAGGACCGAACCGACUAAUGUUGAAAAAUUAGCGGAUGACUUGUGGCUGGGGGUGAAAGGCCAAUCAAACCGGGAGAUAGCUGGUUCUCCCCGAAAGCUAUUUAGGUAGCGCCUCGUGAAUUCAUCUCCGGGGGUAGAGCACUGUUUCGGCAAGGGGGUCAUCCCGACUUACCAACCCGAUGCAAACUGCGAAUACCGGAGAAUGUUAUCACGGGAGACACACGGCGGGUGCUAACGUCCGUCGUGAAGAGGGAAACAACCCAGACCGCCAGCUAAGGUCCCAAAGUCAUGGUUAAGUGGGAAACGAUGUGGGAAGGCCCAGACAGCCAGGAUGUUGGCUUAGAAGCAGCCAUCAUUUAAAGAAAGCGUAAUAGCUCACUGGUCGAGUCGGCCUGCGCGGAAGAUGUAACGGGGCUAAACCAUGCACCGAAGCUGCGGCAGCGACGCUGAUGCGUUGUUGGGUAGGGGAGCGUUCUGUAAGCCUGCGAAGGUGUGCUGUGAGGCAUGCUGGAGGUAUCAGAAGUGCGAAUGCUGACAUAAGUAACGAUAAAGCGGGUGAAAAGCCCGCUCGCCGGAAGACCAAGGGUUCCUGUCCAACGUUAAUCGGGGCAGGGUGAGUCGACCCCUAAGGCGAGGCCGAAAGGCGUAGUCGAUGGGAAACAGGUUAAUAUUCCUGUACUUGGUGUUACUGCGAAGGGGGGACGGAGAAGGCUAUGUUGGCCGGGCGACGGUUGUCCCGGUUUAAGCGUGUAGGCUGGUUUUCCAGGCAAAUCCGGAAAAUCAAGGCUGAGGCGUGAUGACGAGGCACUACGGUGCUGAAGCAACAAAUGCCCUGCUUCCAGGAAAAGCCUCUAAGCAUCAGGUAACAUCAAAUCGUACCCCAAACCGACACAGGUGGUCAGGUAGAGAAUACCAAGGCGCUUGAGAGAACUCGGGUGAAGGAACUAGGCAAAAUGGUGCCGUAACUUCGGGAGAAGGCACGCUGAUAUGUAGGUGAAGUCCCUCGCGGAUGGAGCUGAAAUCAGUCGAAGAUACCAGCUGGCUGCAACUGUUUAUUAAAAACACAGCACUGUGCAAACACGAAAGUGGACGUAUACGGUGUGACGCCUGCCCGGUGCCGGAAGGUUAAUUGAUGGGGUUAGCGCAAGCGAAGCUCUUGAUCGAAGCCCCGGUAAACGGCGGCCGUAACUAUAACGGUCCUAAGGUAGCGAAAUUCCUUGUCGGGUAAGUUCCGACCUGCACGAAUGGCGUAAUGAUGGCCAGGCUGUCUCCACCCGAGACUCAGUGAAAUUGAACUCGCUGUGAAGAUGCAGUGUACCCGCGGCAAGACGGAAAGACCCCGUGAACCUUUACUAUAGCUUGACACUGAACAUUGAGCCUUGAUGUGUAGGAUAGGUGGGAGGCUUUGAAGUGUGGACGCCAGUCUGCAUGGAGCCGACCUUGAAAUACCACCCUUUAAUGUUUGAUGUUCUAACGUUGACCCGUAAUCCGGGUUGCGGACAGUGUCUGGUGGGUAGUUUGACUGGGGCGGUCUCCUCCUAAAGAGUAACGGAGGAGCACGAAGGUUGGCUAAUCCUGGUCGGACAUCAGGAGGUUAGUGCAAUGGCAUAAGCCAGCUUGACUGCGAGCGUGACGGCGCGAGCAGGUGCGAAAGCAGGUCAUAGUGAUCCGGUGGUUCUGAAUGGAAGGGCCAUCGCUCAACGGAUAAAAGGUACUCCGGGGAUAACAGGCUGAUACCGCCCAAGAGUUCAUAUCGACGGCGGUGUUUGGCACCUCGAUGUCGGCUCAUCACAUCCUGGGGCUGAAGUAGGUCCCAAGGGUAUGGCUGUUCGCCAUUUAAAGUGGUACGCGAGCUGGGUUUAGAACGUCGUGAGACAGUUCGGUCCCUAUCUGCCGUGGGCGCUGGAGAACUGAGGGGGGCUGCUCCUAGUACGAGAGGACCGGAGUGGACGCAUCACUGGUGUUCGGGUUGUCAUGCCAAUGGCACUGCCCGGUAGCUAAAUGCGGAAGAGAUAAGUGCUGAAAGCAUCUAAGCACGAAACUUGCCCCGAGAUGAGUUCUCCCUGACUCCUUGAGAGUCCUGAAGGAACGUUGAAGACGACGACGUUGAUAGGCCGGGUGUGUAAGCGCAGCGAUGCGUUGAGCUAACCGGUACUAAUGAACCGUGAGGCUUAACCUUACAACGCCGAAGCUGUU
rnacentral:rRNA from 1 species